AUACGGAGGAUGCGAGCGUUAUCCGGAUUUAUUGGGUUUAAAGGGUGCGUAGGCGGACGAUUAAGUCAGCUGUGAAAUGCCCGCGCUUAACGCGGGAAGUGCAGUUGAUACUGGUUGUCUGGAGUGCCGUUGCCGUGGGGGGAAUGUGUAGUGUAGCGGUGAAAUGCAUAGAUAUUACACAGAACGCCGAUUGUGAAGACACCUCACGAAGCGGUAACUGACGCUGAGGCACGAAAGCGUGGGGAUCGAACAGGAUUAGAUACCCUGGUAGUCCACGCAGUAAACGAUGAUUACUAGCUGUUUGCGAUAUACAGUAAGUGGCACAGCGAAAGCGUUAAGUAAUCCACCUGGGGAGUACGCCGGCAACGGUGAAACUCAAAUGAAUUGACGGGG
rnacentral:rRNA from 1 species